rnacentral:rRNA from 1 species
CUGUGCCGCCGCAAACGCAUUAAGUAUCCCACCUGGGGAGUACGACCGCAAGGUUGAAACUCAAAGAAAUUGACGGGGGCCCGCACAAGCGGCGGAGCAUGCGGAUUAAUUCGAUGCAACGCGAAGAACCUUACCUGGGCUUGACAUGUGCCGGACGCUGUACACACCGCCCGUCACACCACGGAAGUUGGGGGCGCCCGAAGCCACUUAGCUAACCCUUUUGGGAAGCGAGUGUCGAAGGUGAAAUCAAUAACUGGGGUGAAGUCGUAACAAGGUACC